GGGGAAUAUUGGACAAUGGGGGCAACCCUGAUCCAGCAAUGCCGCGUGUGUGAAGAAGGUUUUCGGAUUGUAAAGCACUUUCGACGGGGACGAUGAUGACGGUACCCGUAGAAGAAGCCCCGGCUAACUUCGUGCCAGCAGCCGCGGUAAUACGAAGGGGGCUAGCGUUGCUCGGAAUGACUGGGCGUAAAGGGCGUGUAGGCGGUUUGUACAGUCAGAUGUGAAAUCCCCGGGCUUAACCUGGGAGCUGCAUUUGAUACGUGCAGACUAGAGUGUGAGAGAGGGUUGUGGAAUUCCCAGUGUAGAGGUGAAAUUCGUAGAUAUUGGGAAGAACACCGGUGGCGAAGGCGGCAACCUGGCUCAUAACUGACGCUGAGGCGCGAAAGCGUGGGGAGCAAACAGGAUUAGAUACCCUGGUAGUCCACGCUGUAAACGAUGUGUGCUAGAUGUUGGGUAACUUAGUUAUUCAGUGUCGCAGUUAACGCGUUAAGCACACCGCCUGGGGAGUACGGCCGCAAGGUUG
rnacentral:rRNA from 1 species